AUUGAACGCUGGCGGCAGGCCUAACACAUGCAAGUCGAGCGAGCGGCGGACGGGUGAGUACUGUCUGGGAAACUGCCUGUUGGAGGGGGAUAACUACUGGAAACGGUAGCUAAUACCGCAUACCAUCAGAUGUGCCCAGAUUGGAUUAGCUGGUGGGUGGGGUAACGGCUCACCUAGGCGACGAUCCCUAGCUGGUCUGCGAGGAUGACCAGCAAAACUGGAACUGAGACACGGUCCAGACUCCUACGGGAGGCAGCAGUGGGGAAUAUUGGACAAUGGGCGAAAGCCUGAUGCAGCAAUGCCGCGUGUGUGAAGAAGGCCGUCGGGUUGUAAAGCACUUUCAGCGGGGAGGCGUUACCCGCAGAAGAAGCACCGGCUAACUCCGUGCCAGCAGCCGCGGUAAUAC
rnacentral:rRNA from 1 species